UUUCAGCAGAAUUCAGAAACACAAAACUUCCUAAACAGAUAUUUUGAGGCUGUGAGGUUGAACGUUUGAGAGUAUAUCAGUGUGUUUGUUUGUAGUCUUUCUGUUUCUAGGUGGAAGCUGAAUUAGUGAGGAUGACUCCUGCUCCUGUCAUCUCUAAGCUUCUCACACAUCUUUACCUGCACAUGAGGAAAAUCACUCCUGUAGAAUGCAGAUGUUCAGAGGGAGAUGAUGCCACAUCUGGUCCAGCCGAUGGAAGGUCUUGAAGUUCUCUGACUGGCCUCGACUGAAGAUGGUCGUCUCACUGGAUUUAAGGUUCAGAUGCUCAGUAACAAACUCCACCAAUGAACCAACAGGGAAGCUUUAGGUUUAUUAAAUGUUGCUAUGAAGGUAUCGCUGUUUUUCUUUGUGAAUGCAAUGUGCUCCAACUGAAACUUCAAUUAGAACUUGGAAGUAAAUCCUUCCAUCUGAAAGGAUUUAGUUGUAUUAAUAACCUUAUAACAUUCUAAUUUUUCUUCCAGUCUUGGUUGGAAAUAGAAUCUCUGUAUUGAUUCAGGUAAAAACUGAACUUCACAGCAUGUUGAAGCAAAACAACCAGAUGAAAACUGUGAUGGUGUUGGAUUGUCAGACCGUAAUGUUGCAGCUCAAAGCAGCUACAAUAUUAUUUAAAUUGACAUCAUUAUUAUAAUAUUUAGGGUCAGACCCUACAGUAUUGAGAUUAAGAAAUCAAAUAUUCUUUAAAAUGUAAAUACACUGAACUCAUUUGGAUAUAUUUAAGUGAGACUCUACAAUAUUAUUUGACACAAAUCUAAUCAGAAUUAAAAUCAGUUUUACUCCAAACAUUUACUGGACUGAUUUAAAUAUUAAAAUCACUCCUUUCUAAUCCUCUGCUGUAUGUUCAAACCUGAGGCCUUAAAUAGAAACACACAAGUAUCUGUUUGAAGGAGCUUCUGCAGAGUCCUGGUUCCAGAACAUGAUGAUAGAAUAAUAGACAAACUUUAACAAAAGCUGCCUGAGAGUUUACAGGUUUUUAUGUUAGAUUUCUUCAGUAAUUUAAUGACCGUCAUCAGCAAAAAUCAAGUGUUCAUUUGAUGAACUUCAUUUCCUAAAACAUCCAGAAUUGGAGCUCAUAUCUUUGGCAGCUGUAAAGUUUCUGCUCCUUCAAAGUUCACAACACAAUGAAUUAAUUCCUAAAACACUCUCAAUGCUGGAGAGUGUUUGUGAUGCUGAAGCAGUGAACAGUUUUUCUGUUUCUUCUCUGGAGAUGCACAAUGAAGGACGUCUGCAGCGACUGAGAAAGAGUCUCACCACAUCCUGACAUGAGGAAAAAGACUUUUCUGAAGACUACAAUGAGAAAAACUAUCAGACAGCAGACGGCUGCAUUCAAGUUGAGCUCUGAACAUUAGAUCUGGAACAGGAAUUCAAUAACGGCAGCAUGAGGUUCAUGUCAGUCUGUAGCUGCUGAAUUCAUGGAUGAAUCAUCUGGCACUAGAAAGGAAGACCAUCAAACAUCCACGUCAGCUGAUGGAGGUCCAAGAGUGUCACCGAACAAACAACCUACAGAGUGAAGACCUCGAAUCUGAUUGGACGGCCUCCUAUUCAGCCACAUGUGAACAAAUGCCUCUAAGUUGAUUUGUUUUCUAAAAUAAAUCUAGUUUGAGUCCUAA